GUGCCACUCAUGUGGAUAUUGCUUGUGACGCGGAGUUGGUGAAGCUUGCAGCGAGCCUAACUUCUCUUCCGAUUUGUGUUUCCUCUGUAGAUCCCGAGUCAUUCCUCCCUGCAGUUCAAGCGGGCGCUCACAUGGUAGAGAUUGGAAAUUAUGAUUCCUUCUAUGAUAUGGGCAUACAGUACUCACCAGAGCAGAUACUAAAGCUAACAUGCGAGACAAGGAGGAUACUUCCAUAUAUUACUCUAUCUGUCACUGUGCCUCACACGAUAACUCUACCUGAACAGGUGAAGUUGGCAGAGUUACUGGAACAGGAAGG
rnacentral:misc_RNA from 1 species